rnacentral:rRNA from 1 species
UUUUUCUUCUUUUAGGAAAAAAAUUUUAAAAGUUUCGUAGUGACCUGCGGAAGGAUCAUUACCGAGUGCGAGCCCUCUUUUAAGGGGGCUCAUUCUCCCAUCCGUGUCUACCAUACCAUGUUGCUUCGGCAGGCCCUGCUUCUUUGCAGCUGCCCGGGGGGGGAAUUUUCCCUCCUGGUUUGUUUAGUGCCUGUCGAAGACACAAUGAACAUUCUGUUUUUGAAAAUAGGUUGCUGUCUGAGUUUGAUUGAUUAAAUUCAUUUUUAAAACUUUCAAACAACGGAUCUCUUGGUUCCGGCAUCGAUGAAGAACGCAGCGAAAUGCGAUAAGUAAUGUGAAUUGCAGAAUUCCGUGAAUCAUCGAGUCUUUGAACGCACAUUGCGCCCCCCUGGUAUUCCCGGGGGGCAUGCCCUGUCCGAGCGUCAUUGCUGCUAACUCAAGCACGGCUUGUGUGUUGGGCUAGCGUCCCUCUACCCUAGUGGUCUAAGGGAGAGGGACGAGUCCGAAAGGCAGUGGCAAUGCUGUGUCCAGUUCUCGAGCGUAUGGGGCUUUGUCACCUGCUCUAGAGUAACUGGUCAGCAUUUUUUUUUGGCCUGACUUCUCAACCUUUUUUAUUUUCUCCAGGUUGACCUCGGAUCAGGUAGGGAUACCCGCUGAACUUAAGCAUAUCAAUAAGCGGAGGAAAAGAAACCAACCGGGAUUGCCUCAGUAACGGCGAGUGAAGCGGCAACAGCUCAAAUUUGAAAGCUGGCUCCUGUUAGGGGGUCCGCAUUGUAAUUUGGAGAGGAUGCUUCGGGAACAGGUCCUGUUUAAAUGCCCUGGAACGGGCUGUCAAAGAGGGUGAGAAUCCCGUCUGAGACAGGGUGCCUGUGCCCAUGUGAAGCUCCUUCGACGAGUCGAGUUGUUUGGGAAUGCAGCUCUAAGUGGGUGGGUGAAUUUCAUCUAAAAGCUAAAUAUUGGCCCGGAGACCGAUAGCGCACAAGUAGAGUGAUCGAAAGAUGAAAAGCACUUUGAAAAAGAGAGUUUAAACAGCACGUGAAAUUGUUGAAAAGGGAAAGCGCUGGCGAACCAGAUCGCGCUUGACAGGGUUCAGCCAGGCUUCCGGCCUGGUGUAUUUCUCUGUUGGCGGGCCCAGCGUCGGUUUGGGUGGCUGGCUCAAAGGCCCUUGGAAGGUAACACCCCUCGGGGGGUUUUAUAGCCACGGGGUGCAAUGCAGCCUGCCCAGACCCGAAGAAACGCGCUUCCGCACGACGCUGCAAUCGUUAAAACCCUUUUAAAACAAAAA